rnacentral:misc_RNA from 1 species
GAAAUGCGAUAAGUAAUGUGAAUUGCAGAAUUCAGUGAAUCAUCGAAUCUUUGAACGCACCUUGCGCUCCUUGGUAUUCCUUGGAGCAUGCCUGUUUGAGUAUCAUGAAAUCUUCAAAGUAAAUCUUUUGUUAACUCAAUUGGCUUCUACUUUGGUAUUGGAGGUCUUUGCAGCUUCACACCUGCUCCUCUUUGUUCAUUAGCUGGAUCUCAGUGUUAUGCUUGGUUCCACUCGGCGUGAUAAGUUAUCUAUCGCUGAGGACACUGUAGAAGGUGGCCAAGGUAAAUGCAGAUGAACCGCUUCUAAUAGUCCAUUGACUUGGACAAUACUUUUAUGAUCUGAUCUCAAAUCAGGUAGGACUACCCGCUGAACUUAAGC